CCUACGGGUGGCAGCAGUGAGGAAUAUUGGUCAAUGGGCGCGAGCCUGAACCAGCCAAGUAGCGUGAAGGAUGACUGCCCUACGGGUGGUAAACUCCUUUUAUAAAGGAAUAAGGUGAGGCACGUGUGCCUUUUUGUAUUUACUUUAUGAUUAAGGAUCGGCUAACUCCGUGCCAGCAGCCGCGGUAAUACGGAGGAUCCGAGCGUUAUCCGGAUUUAUUGGGUUUAAAAGGAGCGUAGAUGGGUUGUUAAGUCAGUUGUGAAAGUUUGCGGCUCAACCGUAAAAUUGCAAUUGAUACUGGCAGCCUUGAGUACAGUUGAGGUAGGCGGAAUUCGUGGUGUAGCGGUGAAAUGCUUAGAUAUCACGAAGAACCCCGAUUGCGAAGGCAGCUUACUAAACUGUGACUGACAUUGAUGCUCGAAAGUGUGGGUAUCAAACAGGAUUAGAUACCCCAGUAGUC
rnacentral:rRNA from 1 species